GACGAACGCUGGCGGCAUGCUUAACACACGCAAGUCGAGCGAGUGAGUUCUCUUCGGAGAACGAUCUCGCGGCGGACGGGUGAGUAACACGUGGGCAACCUGCCUUGUAGAGGGGGAUAGCCUUCCGACAGGAAGAUUAAUACCGCCUAACAAAAUUUUAUCGCAUGGUGCAAUUUUUAAAGGAGUAAUCCGCUACAAGAUGGGCCCGCGGCGCAUUAGCUAGGUGGUGAGGUAACGGCUCAACAAGGCGACGAUGCGUUGCCGACCUGAGAGAGUGAACGGCCACAUUGGAACUGAAACACGGUCCAUACUCCGACGGGAGGCAGCUGUGGGGAAUAUUGCACAAUGGGGGAAACCCUGAUGCAGCAUCGCCGCGUGAGUGAUGACGGCCUUCGGGUUGUAAAGCUCUGUCAUUAGGGACGAAAUUGACGGUACCUAAUGAGGAAGCCACGGCUAACUACGUGCCAGCCGCCGCCGUAA
rnacentral:rRNA from 1 species